rnacentral:misc_RNA from 1 species
GGAAGUUGCCAACUGAUGAAACAAGGCAGUUGCCAAUUGAUGAUGUAUCUAAUAUCGCUGCGUGGAAGAGUGUGAACUUUGAAGAACUUGUACACAAUAAAAAGGAAGUUGUGGGCAUGGAAAUAAUGAUUGUAAGUCUCAGGUAUCUCAGCACUGGAGAUGCAACCUAAACAUGCUAAAUUUGGUGCAGAUUCAUGCUAGAAGCUAGUAAUUGAGAAACAGGUAUCUUUCUUUGAGAAAACCUAAUGGCCUCUUGCGUUGUGUGAAUAAUCUUAUAAGAAACCAGAUAUUAACAUCAAAUGGUAAAGCUUGUUAAACAAAAUUUUCAUAAACCUACCCUGCAAUAAGUUGGCAAUUGUGAAGUACAUAUAAAAAAAUUAAGCCUGGAAGAAACAUUACUUUAUCAAGUUGCACAUCCUU